AUUUAGACUUCAUUUUUGCCCUAAUUAUUUUUGCUUACAAGAAGCAAAAAUGCUUGAAGUCCUGAUGUCGAUUUUAAAAAUGCCUUGAAACUUUUUGUCACUUUGCUUUUCAGAAAGGUCGUACUAAUGUGUGCUUCCACUGGCAAUGUACUAGUUUCACAACAUCCUUGCCAACAUUGAGGGUUAAACUUUAAAAAAUAUUUUCUAACUAAUAAAUGAGAACUCUAUAUGGAAUGAACUAGGAUCUCUUUAAUUAUAGGAGAGUACAUUUUUCACUUGUAAAGUUGGCAUUUAUAGAGUACUGAGGGCCUUUAUUUGGACACAAUCUUAGUGUACUAAAUGAUACCUUAUACAUUACAGCACCUUUUUUUCCUAGGUGCUUGAACAUCUUUGCUCUCAUUUCAUCUUCAUUUUAGCCCCAGAGGUGGAAAAUACUUUUCUGUUCACACAGUGGUUUCUGGCCGUGAGCCAUGACGUUACUCCAGCAGUUAAGAGGCUCUGGGCUCAGACAGGUGUGGGCUGGAACUCUAUCUUUGCUGCUUCCUAAGCAAGUCGUUCAGCUUCUGAAAACUUCAAAUUUCCUCCCUCAUUAAACGGGGAUGCUACUUACUUCAUAGAGGUGUUGUGAAGUACAUGAUAUUUAGGUAGUAAUGAAGAUGUUUCAUGAACCACUCAACUGAGCUGCGAAGCCAGACUGCACCGUGCAUCUGUUGCAUGCUGAACAGAGUCUACGCCUCCCCGUGGGGAGGAGGAGAUGUUUAAACACAUGCUAAAAGACUCAAUGAAAUUUAUCACUAAUGGAAAAUUUUCAGUUAGUGGGUGAGCUGUUUAGAGCUAACCUGAACCUUUUUAACUCUCAAAUUCUGCCUGCUUGGCAGUAGCCUAUUUGGCGAAGUGCUGAGGUUCACUCUGCUAUUGGUAUGUGAGAUUGUGUGUGGGCUUCUUUUCUCAUAAUUUUGUUUGCAUCACUAGGCAUUUAAUAUAUUAACAGCCUUCUCUCUCCCUCCCUCCCCUUCUCUCUCUGUAUCCCUCUCUCCCUAUCCUUUUUGCUCCUGUAGAAUUUCUGAAGAGAUGUAUUAGUUAUCUACAGUUGCAUAACAAAUUACCCCCAAAUUUAGCAGCUCAAAAUAUCAUUUAUUGGCUUUAAGCAAUGUCACAGUUUCUGUGACAGCGUGUUCUUUUGGUGGUCUGGCUCAAGGUCUCUCAGGAAGUCGCAGGCCAGCUGUCGGCUGGCCUGAAGUUGUCUGAAAUCUUUGCUGGAGGAGAUGCUGGAGCCAAGCUUGCUCACAUCAGUGCCGGUGGGCCUUCACUCCUUGCUGGCUGCUGGCUGGAUACCUUCAUUCCUCACCAAAGGCCUCUCCAAAGGCUUCUUGAGUGUCCUCAUGACACGGUACCUGACUUCUGCCAGAGCAAGAGAGCUAAGAGGUUCAUCGUUGUUUAAAACCUCAUCUUGAACGUGGCAUACCAUCACUUCUGCCAUAUUUAUUGGUCACACAGACUGACCCUGGUCCAAGGCGGUAGGCCGCGACACAGGGUAUAAAUCCCCCCAGGAGGUGGGGAUUACUGGGGGGACAUUUUGGAGACUGGCUACCUCAAGAGAGAAGUAGGUAUUAUGUUUUUAUUGUACUUAAUAACCUGCUGGAGAAUCAGAGGACAUUUAUGUAACA